CAUUAUAGAACUAGCUGUAAAGUUAACUUGCAAAGCUAAACAUAUGCACGGGUGGUGGAUGUAUUGGUUUGUUCACAAAGUCAUAUCUCAUGAUUAAUCGCUACCACUAACACAGG